AACGAACGCUGGCGGCAGGCUUAACACAUGCAGGUCGAACGCAUCGCAAGAUGAGUGGCAGACGGGUGAGUAACGCGUGGGAACAUACCCUUUUCUACGGAAUAGCUCUGGGAAACUGGAAUUAAUACCGUAUACGCCCUACGGGGGAAAGAUUUAUCGGGGAAGGAUUGGCCCGCGUUGGAUUAGCUAGUUGGUGGGGUAAAGGCCUACCAAGGCGACGAUACAUAGCUGGUCUGAGAGGAUGAUCAGCCACAUUGGGACUGAGACACGGCCCAAACUCCUACGGGAGGCAGCAGUGGGGAAUAUUGGACAAUGGGCGCAAGCCUGAUCCAGCCAUGCCGCGUGAGUGAUGAAGGCCUUAGGGUUGUAAAGCUCUUUCACCGAUGAAGAUAAUGACGGUAGUCGGAGAAGAAGCCCCGGCUAACUUCGUGCCAGCCGCCGCGGUAAAAC
rnacentral:rRNA from 1 species